rnacentral:lncRNA from 1 species
CACACAGGGAGACAGAGAAAGCUGAACAGAUGGGGUGGCUCAAGGGCUCAGUGAAAUGGGAGGCCCUCCUCGCAAAGGGAACAAUGAGCCUGAAAAUUCAGGCAUGCGUGCACACGAGGCCGCCAGGCCCCCUGGCAUGAGCGCUGGGAGUAUUGGGGAGCAAUGAGAUGAGCUGGCAGUUGCAGAGCACUUCCUCUGUGCCAGGCACCUUACCUGACAGAAACCUCCCAGUCGGCCCUGUUUGCAGAAGAACGGAUUGAGGCUUAAGGAGGCCUUGUAAACUGCUUGAGGUCACCCAGCUGAGAAAGCCAUGGAGCUGGCCUUAAAACCCAGGCAUUCUGAUGCCUCAGCCCAUGACCCUAACCAUGGUGUGCUAUGUCUCAAGGAUGCAAAAUUCAGCUUCGGUGACCUUUUGCCAUCUCUGAGACCAGUUUCACAAGGACGAGUCUUGGCCUAUGUUCAGAAGUGUUCUACUUGCAACCCUCUCUCUCCACCCCAAAUCAGAAUUUAUUUGUUUUCAGAACUCUGGUCUCUGAGCUGCAAAAUAUGAAAAAUAAAUUUUAAAAUGAAUAAAUGGCUAAUAAUAUGUUAUCCUUUGAUCUUAGCAAUAUAUUUACAACUAACAGAAAUAUAAUGUUACAGUAAAAGACGUAGCUCUGAUUUCGCUCAUGGAGGCCAAAUCCCGGAGGAGGAGUUUUGGGACCCAUGUGUUUUUCCUUAGUCCUUCAUCCUUACCCCAUAAAUAGGUGCCUACUUCCUCUGUGUGCCUGUUUGCUGGUAAGUUUCCUGUAAGUUGCAAGAAACAGAGACCCACUCAAGUUGUCUAAAGUAAUGGGGGUUUGUUCUAAGGGUGGAUGUGGAAGCAAAAAAUACGCAUUUCUCAACUGUUGGACUAGACCACAGAGAAGAAGAGGACCCACAAUGAAGCGAGGCCUCCAGGCUCUGCAGGGCAGUUCAGAAAUCGACAAAUGGGGGACUGAGUAUCCAUCACCCUCUCAGCAACAUAAUCUGCCGAGCCCUCUUUCACAGGCCAGCUUCUCUCAGUCUCUGCUUCUACUGCGUUUAUUUUCGCUGUCAUUCUUCACCAUAUUGUGUCUACUCACUCACAGACUGCUGCUCACUCAUGCUAAUUAUAGAAACACUUAGAAAAUAUCAGAGGUAAAAAAUAGAACCACCAUUCAAGCAUAUCCUUCAGUGUUUUAUAUAUUUAUAUAUAUAUAUGUGUUUUAAAAUAAAAAGGUCUAUUCAGCAAAUAGGGCUAAAACAACUAAAUGCCCACACAGAAAAGAAAAAAAAGGAAU